rnacentral:rRNA from 1 species
UACGUAGGGUGCGAGCGUUAAUCGGAAUUACUGGGCGUAAAGCGUGCGCAGGCGGUUCGCCAAGUCAGGUGUGAAAUCCCCGGGCUUAACCUGGGAAUUGCGCUUGAAACUAGCGGGCUUGAGUGUGGCAGAGGGGGGUGGAAUUCCACGUGUAGCAGUGAAAUGCGUAGAGAUGUGGAGGAACACCGAUGGCGAAGGCAGCCUCCUGGGCCAGCACUGACGCUCAUGCACGAAAGCGUGGGGAGCAAACAGG